rnacentral:rRNA from 1 species
UACGUAGGGUGCAAGCGGUGGUCGGAUUUACUGGGCGUAAAGGGCGCGCAGGCGGCUUAUUUUGUCAGGCGUGAAAGCCCCGGGCUUAACCUGGGAACUGCGUUUGAUACGGAUGGGCUAGAGUUCGGGAGAGGAGCGUGGAAUUCCCAGUGUAGAGGUGAAAUUCGUAGAUAUUGGGAAGAACACCGGUGGCGAAGGCGGCGCUCUGGACCGAGACUGACGCUGAGGCGCGAAAGCGUGGGGAGCAAACAGG